AACGAACGCUGGCGGCAUGCCUAACACAUGCAAGUCGAACGAGACCUUCGGGUCUAGUGGCGCAUGGGUGCGUAACGCGUGGGAACCUGCACUUAGGUUCGGAAUAACUCUCCGAAAGGGAUGCUAAUACCGGAUAAUGUCUUCGGACCAAAGAUUUAUCGCGUUUGGAUGGGCCCGCGUUGGAUUAGCUAGUUGGUAGGGUAAAAGCCUACUACGGCGACGAUCCAUAGCUGGUCUGAGAGGAUGAUCAGCAACACUGGGACUGAGACACGGCCCAGACUCCUACGGGAGGCAGCAGUGGGUAAUAUUGGACAAUGGGCGAAGGCCUGAUCCAGCAAUGCCGGGUGAGUGAUGAAGGCCGUAGGGUUGUAAUGUUCUUUUACCCGGGAUGAUAAUGACAGUACCGGGAGAAUAAGCUCCGGCUAACUCCGUG
rnacentral:rRNA from 1 species